rnacentral:rRNA from 1 species
AUACGGAGGGGACAAGCGUUAUUCGGAAUCACUGGGCGUAAAGGACGCGUAGGCGGGUUAUUAAGUCGGGUGUGAAAUCCAAUGGCUCAACCAUUGAACUGCAUUCGAAACUGAUAACCUAGAGUAUGGAAGGGGCAGGUGGAAUUAGUGGUGUAGGGGUAAAAUCCGUAGAUAUCACUAGGAAUACCGAAAGCGAAGGCGACCUGCUGGGACAUUACUGACGCUGAGGCGUGAAAGCGUGGGGAGCAAACAGGAUUAGAUACCCCAGUAGUCC